GAUGAACGCUGGCGGCGUGCCUAAUACAUGCAAGUCGAGCGGUAAGGCCACUUCGGUGGUACACGAGCGGCGGACGGCUGAGUAACACGUAGGAACGUACCCCAAACUGAGGGAUAACUGCUCGAAAGAGUAGCUAAUACCGCAUGUGCUCUAAGGAGUAAAGCUACGGCGGUUUGGGAACGGCCUGCGCAUGAUUAGCUUGUUGGUGAGGUAAUGGCUCACCAAGGCGACGAUCAUUAGCUGGUCUGAGAGGAUGAUCAGCCAGACUGGGACUGAGACACGGCCCAGACUCCUACGGGAGGCAGCAGUAGGGAAUUUUCCACAAUGGGGGCAACCCUGAAGGAGCAACGCCGCGUGCAGGAUGAAGGCCCUUGGGUCGUAAACUGCUUUUAUCUGUGAAGAUUAUGACGGUAGCAGAUGAAUAAGGAUCGGCUAACUCCGUGCCAGCAGCCGCAGUAA
rnacentral:rRNA from 1 species